rnacentral:tRNA from 1 species
UCCUCCAUGGCGCAAUUGGCUAGCGCGUCUGACUGUUAUUCACGAGCCUUUCCAAGGCUUCGAGCAAUAAUCAGGAGGUUCCUGGUUCGAGCCCAGGUGGGGGAG